GCCAGACUCCUACGGGAGGCAGCAGUGGGGGAUAUUGCACAAUGGGGGAAACCCUGAUGCAGCGACGCCGCGUGAGUGAAGAAGUAUUUCGGUAUGUAAAGCUCUAUCAGCAGGGAAGAAGAAAGACGGUACCUGAGUAAGAAGCCCCGGCUAACUACGUGCCAGCAGCCGCGGUAAUACGUAGGGGGCAAGCGUUAUCCGGAUUUACUGGGUGUAAAGGGAGCGUAGACGGUAUGGCAAGUCUGAAGUGAAAGCCCCGGGCUCAACCUGGGAACUGCUUUGGAAACUGUUAAACUAGAGUGCUGGAGAGGCAGGCGGAAUUCCUAGUGUAGCGGUGAAAUGCGUAGAUAUUAGGAGGAACACCAGUGGCGAAGGCGGCCUGCUGGACAGUAACUGACGUUGAGGCUCGAAAGCGUGGGGAGCAAACAGGAUUAGAUACCCCAGUAAAU
rnacentral:rRNA from 1 species